GAUGUUCUGGCUGCCCUCCCCAUGGGGUGGUUUGGAAAAGAUUCGGCCUGGUUUUGGUUGUUUUGGUGGGGGGAUGGGCUCGCGGCUUAUCAGCUUGUUGGUGGGGUGAUGGCCUACCAAGGCGGUGACGGGUAGCCGGCCUGAGAGGGUGGACGGUCACACUGGGACUGAGACACGGCCCAGACUCCUGCGGGAGGCAGCAGUGGGGGAUUUUGCACAAUGGGCGCAAGCCUGAUGCAGCGACGCCGCGUGAGGGAUGGAGGCCUUCGGGUUGUGAACCUCUGUCGCCGGUGAUGUAGGCUCUGCUUUGUGGGUGGGGUUGACGUAGCCGGGUAUG
rnacentral:rRNA from 1 species